UCGCCGCGGAAGCAGCUCGAG
rnacentral:siRNA from 1 species